GCAAUCAGACAUCAAAAUCCAUUGAUAUGAAACCUUGAUCGAAGAGUCCCAAAUCAGUGGGACUCUUGACUCCGGUACCCAAAAUGUGUGGAACUAAUGAUCAGAGAAUCUUGAUUCUUGAUCACAGAGUCUCAGACUUGUAGGACUCAGAGUCUCCAAGCAUUAGGACUCUUGGUCGAAGAGUCUCAAUCUAGUGGGACUCUUCACUAGCCAUCAGAUCAGAUAGGAACCUCUAAUAUGUGUGACCCCACAGGUUCGAACCUA
rnacentral:lncRNA from 1 species